CGUAACUCAUGUACUGUGUUCCUAUUCUAGUGUUGUAGUAAAUUAAAACUUUUGAUAUCGAUAAUAUUUUCCUUUUAAAAUAUUGAUUUGAUUGAUCUCUUUAAAAUUUAUUGUUUUGUAUAGAUAUAACACAGUACAAUAGUUGCAUUUUUGUUUUUAGCUGCAUCUUUUAUGGUUUGCUUAUUUAAUUUACUGUGUACUUGAGAAAAACUGUCUACUUUAAUUGAUUUUGUAACAGAACGGAAUCAAUGAGUUAAGUAGACCUGAUCACACAGUAGUUUUAAAAAUGACGCUUUUCGCUAUAGCUUUAGACUUUCGGAUAGGAUAAUUUUUUUAAUUAACUAUUUAAAAUAAUUGACAUCUACCCUAUAUCCCUUGUUUUAAAUUUAUUGACUUAAAAUCGUUAACUUUCUUUUAUAAUUGUACCCUAACUUUAGAAUAUUUUCUUCAUGAAUAAUGAUUCUGCUUGAGUUAGCAAAUUAUUAUAUUUGCUGCCUCUUUGAAUGAAAGGUGGCCUUAUUAUUUUCUAAAUCUAUGAUAAGGCCUAUUAUGAUUGAAAGUAUGAAAGAUUUUUGCAAGAGAAGUAUGAAUGUGUAUGUAGUUUCUUUUAGUUAUGAAGAAGUAUUAGUUAAGCUGCGGAUUUUGACUUUUAGGAGGUCAAAAUCCUUGGGCAGAAAGGGGGGUAAUGUAACGUUAUUUAUUUCUUCAAAAUAAAUAACUUACAAAGUAGUAAAUAAUCUUCAUAAUUUAUUAAUUUUAAGUAUCGACUUUAUCGAUAACUUAAUCUUCGCGUCGAUAAUUCUUCAAAUUAUCGACGCGUUCCCAUCCCUAGCCAGCGAAGCGGUCUUUUGUUAUUGUCCCCACCUCUCGCGGCAGCCCCACUCGGUGACCACUGGCUCUCGAUCAUUCGGCCACGGGCUACGGCAUCGACUGCGCGUGACCCUACCUCACGGCAGUCCUCUAGGUGCCUAGCCCGCUCUAAAGUGUCGAAUGACCUAGACUUUACCAGUGGUACCUUGUGCGUGUCUUCCCCAAUAUCGGGGUCCAAGGUCCACGCUACUACUCCAAGGU